rnacentral:sRNA from 17 species
ACUUAAGGAACGCAGACUAAGAACGGCACGUCCUGUGGCAACGUCUGCAUGACCCCCAUCCUGGGGG